UGCUGGGCAGUGUUCCCAGAAUAGUCCUGCCCCAGUGCAUUGCUCUGAGCAGGACUCAGAAACCCUGGGAGGGGAGAUCCACAGAGUGCUGGUGAUUCCCAAGGAAAUGGAGAAGAAACACCAGACUUCAGAGAACCGUCCAUGCACAGUGAGAAUGUCACCUACGCUACCUGUCUCCAGGUGUAGCCAUGAGCCAUGGAGACAGUGGUGCUGGAAACAGGACCCCAGAGUACCUGACCUAGUGGGUAUGUCCAGGAGAUACGUUGCCGACCAGAUCAGAGCAAGCAACAGAAGACUGAAAAUCAGCAAGGAGAACCCAUCUGGAGUCCGAAAGUGAAGACAGAGUGGACAGGGACAGCUCAGUCCCCACAGCUCUGGUUCAGGCCUCAAUCAACAGCAUCCUGACUACUACACAGUCAUGCUGAGAGAGAUCCGGAGACUUCACAAAUCACCCCAGCUCUAGUGUCUGGUUGUACACAUUGUUUCAAACUUGAGUUGUCUGAUCUGUACUCUUUAUAUCUGGCUGGAAAUACUCUCCCUGUCUCUGUCUGUCUGUCUCUCUCUCCCCUCCUAAUCUGCCUUGGGCUUAGUUGAUGCUAGAGAAGUUUGCUUGAAACGGAGAGGAUUCACAUUCCAAACAAGGAGCUAUGUGAUGCCAGUAUUAUGCAUCUUGUUCUCCAUUUUGCCCCAGAGCAUCCAGCCAUGUGCAAGUUUUACCACAAAGUGAACACCUGGCAUGCACAGGUCCUUGCCAUCUCUGCCUCUGCUGCUGCUGUUGCUGCUGCUACUGCUACUGCUGCUGCUGCUGCAUUGUUAUCUCCAAUGCAGGCUGGGAAAGGCCAGAUGCUUCUGAUGCCAAUAUGGGAGCAUUCCAAAGCCCCGUACUGUGAAAACCACAGAAAACCACCAGGAAUGUCACUCAACAUGGAACCAGGCCUGAGACCAGCCUCAAAUGCAGUGGUCUGAAAAGGGGGCACCUUUCUGAUCACAGACACCCUGCGUGGAAGAGGAGCACACAGGUGAUGCCUCCUGGCUCAGGCCAUCUGAAACACGUGGUCAGCUACUGGGCGAUGCAUCACUGAACUCUGUAGUUCUUACCAAACCCCUCCUUAUUCCGGCCUCCCUGAUGGAAGAGGCUCCUGCUGACUGACAGAGAAGUAGAGCUGGAGCCGGAGACUCACAAGUGGAUGGACUGAGAAGAACAAAAUAAGAAAACUGUGUUCUGAUCCUGGGAGCACCCAGCACCUUACCCCGAACCCUUGUCAUGGGAGAGCACUGUCUGAGGUGGCUUGGAGAACUUCCUCACUGAGGGUAAUUCCUGUCCUGGCAGGAGGAGGAAGGUGCUUCUCAAGCCCCCUCCAUCAACCACCUCUAUUGCUGUGUACAUGGGGCAUGGGGACUCAGCUGGUCUUACUGUCCCUUUGGUCAUCUAGGCACGGACACCACUUUCCCAGAAAGAAAACUCAGAAAGACUGCCAGCGGCAAGAGCCAGACAUACAGAACACUUUGUGGGCUCUAUCUGUUUGCACCACCUACAGCAGCGACGUCAACCAUUACCUGCAGAACUGGACCAUUUUGAGAGGACCCAGAUUUUGAAAGCCGAGUUACUGAUUUUGUGCAUUGUGUGUCUGGAUGAAGAUCAGUCAGUCAGGAUGUGCAGGGAGACCUGGGUACCACGUUGUGUCUACAGAAGUCUUACCAAGAGUGUCACACACAGGAACCCAGGAAAAGCAUCUGUA